GACUAGCCCCGAUUGCAGUGAAAAUCCUUUUGCUUUUUUUUGAAAAGGAAAAGAUUGUAACGGAAAGCGGGAUUAAGC
rnacentral:sRNA from 1 species